AGCAAAGAUAACGUUGUCGGAAACUAGCAGCGUGUAGAGGACCUUUCGGGCCACCUGAGAUGAAGUUGCCCAGGGGGAAAGUGGGUGGAGAUAAGAAGUGAAGAACAGACCACGGAGGCACAGGAGCCCUGUGAAACACGAGACUGAGGUGCAAGGAAGGAUCAGAGGAUGAACGCCUGUGUCGUGUGCUGAGCUGCAGGAAGCGAGCCACUUCCUCCACCCAAGUCCCAGGACCCUAACAGCACAAUUCAGCCAUGAGCUCACCCUUCGAUCAGUCC